rnacentral:rRNA from 1 species
AGUAACACGUGGAUAACCUACCUAUAAGACUGGGAUAACUUCGGGAAACCGGAGCUAAUACCGGAUAAUAUUUUGAACCGCAUGGUUCAAAAGUGAAAGACGGUCUUGCUGUCACUUAUAGAUGGAUCCGCGCUGCAUUAGCUAGUUGGUAAGGUAACGGCUUACCAAGGCAACGAUGCAUAGCCGGCCUGAGAGGGUGAUCGGCCACACUGGAACUGAGACACGGUCCAG